rnacentral:rRNA from 1 species
GACGUAGGCGGCGAGCGUUGUCCGGAUUCAUUGGGCGUAAAGAGCACGCAGGCGGUUUGGAAAGUCGGAUGUGAAAACCCGGAGCUCAACUCCGGACCUGCAUCCGAAACUGCCCGACUAGAGGUAGGUAGGGGAGAUCGGAAUUCCUGGUGUAGCGGUGAAAUGCGCAGAUAUCAGGAGGAACACCGGUGGCGAAGGCGGAUCUCUGGGCCUUACCUGACGCUCAGGUGCGAAAGCUAGGGGAGCGAACAGG